rnacentral:misc_RNA from 1 species
AACGCACGAGACCUGCGGACCUGCGGAAGGAUCAUUACUAAUUUGUGUGGGUGGGCUUUGGUUUUAAACCGAGCCGAACCCAGAUGUGCGAUGCCGCAAGGCGUCGAUACACUUGCGCUUGACAUGUUUGACAGAGUAAGAAACACAAAAUGCAAACAACUUUCAACAACGGAUCUCU